ACCCUCUUCCUGAGGCAGAGCUCACGACUGGAUUUUGCUGAAGCCUCCGCCUGAAGAUUAGGGGCGGGCUGCGGCGGAGGCUCAGCCCCGGGAGACGCGAAGGGAGGAGGCAGAGAAGGUUGGUGGAGGAACACAGUUCUGGGCACACUCAACAAGCAGCGCUUGCCACAGCUGGUCCUUACCUCCUGGGCUGGACAGUUGGCUCUUCUGGUGAGGACUGCCAUCUACCCACUCAUUCGUUUUAUGAAGUGAUAGGAAGAACGCUCAACACAAGAGGAGAAAAGUGUGAAGUGACCCAGGCUGCCACCCCCAGUCCCCUUCCCCUCAGGGAGCUGCUCACUGCUUAGCGUAACUAACCUGCUGACAGCAUAUGACUCAGCUUGGCUUGAGUGGCAAAGGGUGCUACUCUGCAUUGUCUUUCAGUUCUUGCUUUUUGCUACCAAGAUUCCUAUCCUUCUGGCCCACUCACUUCACUUUACCUUGUGUGCUAUCUGAAGUGUGGCUGUGAUACACUUGGGUUGUUUCCAGACUGUUACUGUUGGGGACAGCGUUGGGUGACAUCCCAGCACACAGAUCCUGUUUGCUGUUUGAAUGCUGCUCUUGGAUACCUGAGUUGAACUUUGUCUGAAAUUUUGCAAGAAAAUGCCAGAGUCUUUCCCAAAAGUCACCACAUUAGUAGUAGUGACCACAUUAUUAGUAGUGACCACAUUAGUAGUAGUGACCAUAGUAUUAGUGGUGACCGCAUUAGUAGUAGUGACCAUGUUAGGCCACACAUCUACCAUUGGUCCUUGCCCAGGUGGCAUAGCCAAAUUCUGAAUCUUUGCCAAGUUAGUGGGUACCAAAUAUCUCAUUGUUUUGGGGCUGGAGAGCUGGCCCGAUGGUUGAAAGCACUGUUGCUCCUGCAGAGGACCUAGGUUCGGUCCCCAGCACCCACACAGUGGCUCACAACUGGAACUCCAGUUCCAGGGAA